rnacentral:rRNA from 1 species
AUUGAACGCUGGCGGCAUGCUUUACACAUGCAAGUCGAACGGUAACAGGGUGCUUGCACCGCUGACGAGUGGCGAACGGGUGAGUAAUGCGUCGGAACGUGCCGAGUAGUGGGGGAUAACGCAGCGAAAGUUGUGCUAAUACCGCAUACGUACUGAGGUAGAAAGUGGGGGACCUUCGGGCCUCACGCUAUUCGAGCGGCCGACGUCUGAUUAGCUAGUAGGUGAGGUAAAGGCUAACCUAGGCGACGAUCAGUAGCGGGUCUGGGAGGAUGAUCCGCCACACUGGGACUGAGACACGGCCCAGACUCCUACGGGAGGCGGCAGUGGGGAAUUUUGGACAAUGGGCGAAAGCCUGAUCCAGCCAUGCCGCGUGUCUGAAGAAGGCCUUCGGGUUGUAAAGGACUUUUGUCGGGGAGGAAAUCCCCAGCGUUAAUACCGCUGGGGGAUGACAGUACCUGAAGAAUAAGCACCGGCUAACUACGUGCCAGCAGCCGCGGUAA